rnacentral:rRNA from 1 species
GCAGCCGCCGCGGGAAUACAGAGGGUGCGAGCGUUAAUCGGAUUUACUGGGCGUAAAGCGUGCGUAGGCGGCUUUUUAAGUCGGAUGUGAAAUCCCUGAGCUUAACUUAGGAAUUGCAUUCGAUACUGGGAAGCUAGAGUAUGGGAGAGGAUGGUAGAAUUCCAGGUGUAGCGGUGAAAUGCGUAGAGAUCUGGAGGAAUACCGAUGGCGAAGGCAGCCAUCUGGCCUAAUACUGACGCUGAGGUACGAAAGCAUGGGGAGCAAACAGGAUUAGAUACCCCAGUAGUCCCUGUCUCUUAUAC